CUGGAAAUACAGAUGGUUGUGAGUUAUAUCAUGCGAGUGUUGGGAAUUGAACCCAGGUCCUGUGCAAGAACAAAUGUUGGUCAUGGUAAGCCAUCUUUCUAACCCUAUUAUAUAUAUCUUCUCUAUGUUCACAAGUUAGAGAUAUAUCUUCUUUAAUAUAAUGACUUUAUUUGGGGGGUACUGUAAUUCAUAUGCAAAUUGAUUUAAAUAAAUAACAUCAUCUAAGCACAUGUUCCCUCUAAUUAGGGGGUAUACACAUGGCUUCCAGAGCAGUCUCUAUGGACACACAAUCCCUUCCUUCUGGCCACCUCUGUUAUAACCACUGUGGAAUAAAAGUGGCCCCUGUUUCUUCUUUUCCUGAAGCUAAGAAGAGCUACGUAGCUAGCAGAGUUCUGAGUAAGGGAGUUGCUAGAAGUCUCCGGGGAGUGAAGAGGAACCGUCCAAUGUGCAGAACAAGACACAUCCCUCUGCAUCCACAGCCCUUUCAGCAGGGAUACGGAGGAGAAGCAACCACUUAGGGGAACAGCAGGAUGAGAUGGGAUUGUGGAAAUCCUUGGCUCUCCCACAACCAUUGGGGUUCACAGAGAAUCUUGAACACCUUUAGUUGUAGCCUCAUCUUCCUGGCACCCAGCCUCAUCUUCCUGGAAUCUGGUCCCCAUCUUCUUCACCGCCUGCAAUCACCAUGUGAGUUUUCCUCUUGUCCUUUCCUGGUCCCUCGAUCUGCUGUCUCUUCUCGGAUAUGAUGGCCCACAGUGUUGACACAGCCUCUCAAUCUUUACCUACCCUAAAUACUACGUACCACUUCCCUGACGGAUGAAUGACACACAGCCCAAGUUAGCUUUAAGAGCAUCAUGUUCCUCUCACUUCAGCCUCCAGAGAGCUGGGAUUGUGGGCGCUGAGCUACCACAUCUGGCUGAUAUGUAUGAUGAGAAUCAGGAUGUGUUAUCUAGGAUACAGCCCUUUGGCAUUUGAGAAAAUGGUGGAAGCAAAAGAGUAAUGAUAUGCAGCUAGAAACUGUGUUUUCAAGAGAGCAUUUACUCUUGACUUGGGCCAAUAAUGUACCUCCAAAACAGGAUGGAAGCCUGCCAUCUUGUCUUCAUUUUGUAUGCGUUUUCUUUGCUUUGGGCGCCAGUUUAUCUCUCCACCUAGACAUGUUAAUCGUUCAAGGAUUGUCUCCCUAGGAGUUAACAAGCCCUAGCCUAUCUCCAUCCCUCAAGGCUGAAGGCACAAAGAUAAGACAAGAGUAACCCAGGCCUCUUAGACAGUCAUCUUUUUUUUUUUUUUUAACAAACAUUGUUUUAUAACGUCUAAGUCUAGUUCUCCAGAAGACACCUAAACUAGUCAGACAUUAGUGACAUUGAAGGUUUUGGACCACGGACUCUCCCAUUAAGAUGUAUAGUUCUUUGCCAAACCAGGAACAAAAACUGAAGGACUUUGAUAAAAAGAAUUUAAAAAGCACAAGGUCUGAAUUGUAUCUCUAGCCUUGGGUCAUGAAGAAUAGAAGACUACUAUCUAGCAAGAGACCCAGACAAAGAAUAAAUAAGUACUGUGGCCCUCUCCCUUAAGAUUUAAUCCAAAUGGACCUUUUAAUCAACUGGCCGGGAAGAUGCCCUCCCAGAAAGCUCUCUGUUUAACAACUUAAGAAAUAGCAUAAAGUCUGCCUAAAAUGUAAGUCAGCAGAGAGCUACCCUUGGCUGAUGUCCACUCAUCACAGGAGACAGUCCCCACUCCCCCACCCCUGCCCGACUCCAAAAGGUCCCCUUGGGUUUUGGCCACGCUCACCCCAGGAGAGAGAGUACCUUCUUCCUCAAUGAUUUCUUUGGCUACUGGCCACUCAGAAUGUUUAAUUUAGUGUGUCUUGUACUUUCACGUUACAAUCUCUAUCUUCUACGCUACACUCUCGGUCUCAUCUGAAUUCUUUUAAUGGACAUCACAAAGACCAGAUAAAGUACAGGCUGCCAGAGAGAGAUCCCCAUAACAAUCACUGCCCUGAAACUGCAGUGGAAUCCAGGAACGGCAGAGCCCAGAGGGAGAGAUGUCCUCGUCGGAUGAGGACAAUUAUCUACCAUGACAAGACUUUAACAUGGAGGAGAAUUAGUCUCCUGAGAAACAGGAUGUCCACUCAUGCAAAGAACUUGUUUGGAACACCUUGCAGAACUAGAACCAAGUCAGUGAUCAACCAGACCACAGCUAGAUCAGCACUAGUUACUUAAGCAUCCUUCCUGCUUCCCUGUCACAAUUCUUCCUCCCUUUAAAACUAAAAAGCUCAUGUUAGUUCUCCAAAGAUGGAUUUGGGGGUUCACUAGGACCCCCUCCCCCCUAUUCUUCCUAAUGUGUGCAUGGACUAAAUGUCUUUUUCCCCCUGUACUUAUUUCUUUAGGUGUUAUGCUGAGAAGCAUAGCGAAGCCUAGAUCUUUGGGACCCCAGAGUCCAUCUGUUGCCCUGAAUCUCUGGUAAAAAGCAGCCACUCUUCCUUAGCCCUCUUCCAUGAAGCAGGUCACCAAGGCACACAGCCCUUCUCCAGAAGGCACAAGGCUGCCCCGAGCUCCCUGUUCUGAGGCCUAGCAUGUGCUGUGGACACUCUGGCUCAUCUCCAGUGUUCCACCUCCAUGUGAAUCCCAGGCUGGCGUGUUGAUGCACACUAAUGUGCCUUUUCUCCUGGUGGUCUGUUCACUGUCUGUCCUGUGGAUUCAAAGUGCCAGAGCUUCAAGAAAUUGAGCUGGGGGACUAAUUUUAAUCUCUAUAUCUGUAUAGGUAAUAUUCUAUAAUGUUAUCUACCUCUCUGUCGAAUUUAAGCAUAGCCAUACACCUUCAUCUGUGUCCUAAAUUCCUGCUUCUUUAUAUAAGGUCCCACGACAAAUAAUAUAGGUGCAAGGUCUUCUCUGCUUGGCCAGUCUUCUGUUAGAAUGGCCGUGGUUACAAACUUAGUGAUGGGUGAGGAAAUCUGUCCUUCUUUUUUACAUUAUCAACCACUUAUACAGGACCCUGGGUUGUCAUUUAUCUCAUAAAGCAUUAUUUAAUUCUUUUGUAUUUUCUAUUUUGCACAUUAGAAAUUCAUAUAAUCUUAUUUUUGUAAAGACAAAGAAAAUCAGAUUGCUUUUGUCUUCCUAGAAAAUAAUAAAAUAUCUUUAAGACUGAAGCAUUUUUUUCCUGGCUAUGCUUGGGUGUCAUUCAUAUGUGUGUCAUGUGUGUUUCUUACGUAACAUGUGGGGUGUGUGUAUGUGUGUGUGGUUAGUGUGUGUAUGUGUGUGUUGGUAUGUGUGUGGUGUAUGUGUGGUGUGUGUGUAUGGUUUAUGUGUGUGUGUGGUGUGUUUGGUAUAUGUGAGUAUGUAUGUGUGUGGGGUGUAUGUGGUAUGUGUGGUGUAUGGUGUAUGUGUGGUGUGUGUGUAUGGUUUGUGUGUAUGUGGUAUGUGUGGUGUGUUUGGUAUAUGUGAGUGUGUAUGUAUGUGUGGUGUGUCUGGUGUAUGUGUGUGUGGUGAAUGUGUGGUGUGUGUGUAUGGUGUGUGGUGCUGGUGUGUGUGUGUGUGUGCCUAUCUGAAUUUUGUUUUCUGUUUUGGGCAUUAAUUUUCUUUGUCAUUUCAAAUCAUUAGUUUGGAUUUGAACUAAGACGAUGUAUACUCUUUCCUUCGACAAAUUAUUUAUUUUAUCUUACCUGUUUAUAUUUUAAUUUUGGUACUGAGAAUUAAAUUCAGGGCCAAAGCAUAUGCUCUCCUAGUGAGCCAUCUCCCCAGGCUGGCUUAGUUUUGGGUUUCUAAAUAAUGAUUAUGUGGGUUAUUUUCCCUCUAGUACUUGACUGCCAUUGCUUUCGUUGGUUCUAAUUUUACUGGUACAGAUUUCUGUAGGUGUUUCUUAUUACAUAUAGUUAAAUGUAUAUGUAUGUAUAUGUAUGUAUAUGUAUGUAUAUGUAUGUAUAUGUAUAUGUAUAUGUAUAUGUAUAUGUAUAUGUAUAUGUAUAUGUAUAAUAUGAGUCUGGGUGGAUAUGUUGCAUAUGAGUUCAGGUGCCCAAGGAAGCCGGAGGCGUGGGAUGCCCUGGAGGUAGAGUAACCUGCGGUUGUAAGCUGCCCGGUGUGGGCGCUGGGAAUCAGCUGAGACCCUGCCAGCAUAGCACAGGCUCUCCACGAUGAGGCAUCUCUCAGGCCCCACAGUUCUCCACUUUAGUUCAGAUCAUUCUCUCUGAUCUCCUCUGUCCUUUUUCCUCGGAAGCCUUCGGUUCUGCUUCUUUGCCUCUUAAUCCUGCUGACUGUGUGCUGGGUACCAUCGAGCACCCGGUACCAUUAAACAUGCUGUUUUCUUGGGGUCCUGUGAGAAACCACGGGAAGUCCUACUCUGUGCUGUGAACAGGACUUUCUGGUCUCUGAAGCAGAUCUCUGUACUGGCAUUCACAUUCUACCAGGAGUGGAGAAAGAAACUUGCUUAGGUUUCCCUUCUCCCUGAGGGGACAAGAGAGCAGGUGUCCCUGUGAGCAGACACUCAUAUAUGUCGGUCUGAUUUCAGAGGCAGACCAGCCUCUGUCUGGAACCCCAAAAUGACAGCAGCGUUCUUUCUGGUCUUUCCCCAUUCUGAACUCUCAUGUGGCACACAGAGAGUCCCUGCCUUUGCCUGGUCCUUUGGGACCCUAAGUUUCUUCAUCCCAUUGGCACCGUGGAUCAGUAGCCAUCACUCAGCACAGUCAGGUUGGGAGGCGGUAGAAGAGGGAAAUCAUUCAAGCCAAUAUUAUACCAGAAUCCUGGGCACACAUUUACAGGGAGCCCCCGUUACUCUUCUAGUGUUCUUUUGUUUCUUCAUUGACCAGGGGCAGAAUUCUACAUAAAAGGUGGCCUAGCGCUUGGCUACCAUGCUACUCUUAGCCUUGGCACUGCAGAGAAAGGCUUAUCUCUGGCAGGAUCUCACCCAGGAUUCCUUCCUCUUUCCUCCUCUCCCUUCUCACCUCUCACCAGCAGAACUUCCCAAAGCAUGAGCUGAACCUGGACUAACUAUGGCUGAGGUAAUGCUGCACAUUUGUGGGAGCAGAGGCGCUGAGAACCGGAUUGUGAUAAGACUAAAGGGAAAGCCAAGUCCCAAAGGGACGAGUGACUGAGGGUGGAGCCAAACAGCUGGGACACCUGGGCUGAGUCACACUUAGCACUUCAGAGCCUGGCUUCUAUCUGCCUCUCCCUCUCCCCUCCUUUACAAAUCCAGUUCCAGUUUUGACUUAGGUGAUGCAGCAGCACAGAUGUGGUGUUGCCGCUGCUAACUUUCCUCUCUGUGGCCAUUCUAAAAAUUAAAAAAAAAAAACACACACACACAGUAACUUUGUCUCUGUGUGUUUUAAAAUUGUAAAGUUCACAACACUUAGGCUUUGGGCUGUUUCCGGGUGAGGAAUUGGGGGCGGGGAUCUUUAUAGAAUUAUUAUUGGUCAGAGAACAAAAGUUUUCUUAGUCUUAGAGAAAGUGCCUUUCAAAAUUCAACCCUAGAACCAAUAUUCCAUGUUGAAGUUGGUGUCUGUUCUUGUCUGGUCAGGAAUACCAGAGGCAUAUAUGCACAUAGCACAGACAGCUUUAGCAGGAUGGAAAAAAAAAUAAACCCUCUAUUUUAUUCCUUCUUCAAGACUGUGGGCUGAUGGGAGACAGCUGUUUUAUGAGAAAUGUGUCUCUGACCUGAUGAGAUAAAUUCUCUUCAAAGAGGAAUAAAAGAAAAUAGUAUCUAAGAAUGUGGAAUGUGUGUCAUGGUUACCCCAAACCCUUCACACCUACAGCCAGCAGAGCUGCAGAAAGAGAAGUUUCUUCUGAUGAACGCUCCCCACCCCCCAAAAAAACUCUCAGGAGAUUUAAAGGAAUAGAGAGGGAGAGGCAGGGAGGGAGACAGAUGGAAAUAGAUGAGAGAGAGAGGGAGAUAGGGAGAAACAGAGAGAGGAAGGGAGAAAGUAAGGGAGAGAGGGAGAAACAGAGAGAGGGAGGGAAAGAGGAAAGGAGAGAGGGAGAAACAGAGAGGGAGGGAGAAAGGGGGAGACGGAGGAAUAGAGGGAGGGAUGGAGGGAGGGGGAAGGGAGAGAGGAAUGGAGGCAGAGAGGGAGAGAGAUGGAGAGACAGACAGACAGAGUUGUGGGGGGGAGAGGGAGAGAUCCGUGUAAGAUCCAGUCCACUUGCCCAUGACUGUGACACUGAACUCACCCCAGCUUUACAGGAUCUAAAUAUAACAUGUAAUUAACGGGAGUCACCUGCCAGUCAGUGAAGCCAUAAAAAAUCUGAUUAAAAUCAAAUGUGAUGACAGGCCAGGAAAGAAAAAAAAUCUGUUUGUUAAAAAUAAAACCCCUAGGUUUCUCCAUUAUGAGGUCCCCAUGUAAUGGCAUCAACGGGGGUCUCUACUUAGUCCUUCCUGCAGGUGACGUGGCAUUUUCCAGUGUCCUUUAAGGUAGAGGGACACAGGACCCAAAGAACACCCUGUUUUAAGACUCUGCAGAGGAGCUAAAUUAGCGAACUACGUUGGAGCUGUUUCAAGGAUCUCUGGCUACUGUUAAUAUUGUUAAUCUUUCAUUUUUAUUGUGUGUGUGUGUGUGUGCUGUCAGGAGCAGUGGCAGGAAGCACAUUUUGUCAAUUAAAUAAUUAAUCCCACAGCAUAAUAGUCAGUAAGGAAAGACUGACAUUUGUUAGGCUCAAAGCAAAAGAAAGCCUGGGAGGGUUUUCCAUUGUGCUUGCUCAAGAAAAACAUCAUUUGGUAGCAGGCUUGUUUCUCUGCUACACCUACCGAUCCUGCCACAGCGAGGAAGACGAGAGAGAAGUCUGGGACACAGACGGGGCUCACUUGUCGUGAAAGCAUUAGGUCCUGGGUUCAGAUGCCAACACCCAUGAAAAAUGCACUUUUGCUGGAUGUCAACCUUUUGCUUUCACAGGAACACAACACACACACACA